AUUUCUUCUUCAUGUUUAAAUGAUAUUUUCACUGAAUGUACUAUUCUAGAAUAAAAGUUUGUUUCCUUCAGCUCCUUAAAUGCCACUCUCUCCUGGACUGUAAGGUUUCCACUGAAAAUUCUACUGCCAGAUGUAUUGGAGCUCCUUUGUGUGUUAUUUAUUUCUUUUCUCUUGCCUCCUUUAGGGUUUUUUCCUUUGUCUUUGAUCCUUGGGACUUUGAUUAUUAAGUUCUUUGAGAUAGUCUUAUUUCACUUAAAUCUGCUUGGUGUUCUAUAAACUUCUUGGAUUUGAAUAUUAAUAUCUUUCUCUAGGUUUGGAAAGUUUAUUUGUUAUUAUCUGUUUGAAUAAACUUUCUACCCUGAUCUCUCUCUUUACCUCCUCUUUAAGACCAAUAACUCUUAAAUUUUGAGGAUAUUUUCUAUAUCCUCUAGUCUCAAUAAAUCUUAGAUUUUUCCCUUUUGAGGCUAUUUUCUAUAUCCUCUAGCCAUGCUUCAUUCUUUUUUAUGCUUUUUUCUGUUGUCUUCCUUCACUCUAUAUUUUCAAGUAGCCUGUCUUCAAGCUCACUAAUCCUUUCUUUCACUUGAUCAAUUCUGCUGUUGAGAGACUCUGAUGCAUUCUUCAUUAUGUCAAUUGUGUUUGUCAGCUCUGGAAUUUCUGCCUUAUUUUUAAAAAAUUAUUUCAAUCUCUUUGUUAAAUUUAUCUGGUAGGAUUCUGGAAUGUUUCUCUGUGUUAUCUUGAAUUUCACUGAGCUUCCUCAAAACAGCUGUUUUGAAUUUUCUGUCUGAAAAGUCACAUAUCUUUGUCACUCUAGGAUUGGUCACUGGUGCCUUAUUUAGUAUGUUUGGUGAGGUCAUGUUUUUCUGGAUGGUCAAUGCUUGUGGGUGUUCACUGAUGUCUGGGUGUUGAAGAGUUAUGUAUUUAUUGUAGUCUUUGCAGUCUGAGCUUGUUUGUACCUGUCCUUCUUGAGAAGAAUUUGAUGUCUGGGCAUUGAAGAGUUACGUAUUUAUUGUAGUCUUUGCAGUCUGGGCUUGUUUGUAGCCAUCCUUCUUGAGAAGUCUUUCCGAGUAUUCAUAGGAACUUGUGCAUUGUGAUCUAAGUCUUUUGUCACUGUAGCUGUGUCUGCAUUAGGGGACACCCCAAGCCCAGUAAUGUUGUGACUAUUGCAGACUUUUAUAGGUACUGCCUUUGUGGCCUGGGGUAAGAUUCAAGAGAAUUCCCUGGAUUACCAGGCAGAGACUCUUGUUCUCUUCUCUUACUUUCCCCCAAACAGAGUCUAUCUCUGUGUUGAGCUGCCUGGAACUAGAGGAGGUGUGACACAAGUGCCCCUGUGGCCCCCACCAAUGGGACUGCAGUGGGUCAGACCUGAAGCCAGUGCAGCACUGGGUCUCACCCAAAGCUCACAGUGACCUCUGCCUGGCCACUGCUGAUGUUCACUCAAGGCCCGGAGCUCUUCAGUCAGCAGGUGGCAAAUCCAGCGAUGUUUGUGUCUUUCCCUUCAGGGUGGCAAGCUCCCCACCAGCCCAGGGCUGGUCCAGAAAUGCUGUUCAGGAGCCAGGGCCUGGAGUCAGGAACCUUAGAAAUCUGCUCUAUUCUACUGUGGCUGAGUUGGCACCAAAGCUGCAAGACAAAGUCCUUCUCACUCUUCUCUCUCAUUUCCUCAACCUGAAGGAGUCUUUCUUCACAGCCACCACCACCUCAGGCCUACGGCAAGUACUGCUUGGCUACCACUGAUGUUUACUUGAGACAUGAAGGCUCUUCAAUAAGCUUGUGAAGAAGUCUCUCCUUAUGGCCACCACAGGUCAGAAUAUGCUGGAUCUCCCCUGAAACCAGCACAGCACUGUGUCUCACCUAAGGCCCAUGGAGAGUACUACGUGGCCACCACUGGUGUUUAUUCAAGGCCCAGAGUUCUUCAGUCAGCAGGUGAUGAAUCCUGCCAAGACUGGGUUCUUCCCUUCAAGGCAAUGGGUUCCCUUCUGGCCCAGGGUGUACCUAGAAAUGUCAUUCAGGAGCUAGGGCCUGGAAUGGUUUUCUGUUAUACCGUGACUGAGCUGGUAUCCACAUUGCAAGACAACAUCCUCCUUACUCUCCCCUCUUUUCUCCUUAAGUGGAAGGAAGGAGUCUGUCCCAGAGCUCUGAGCUAUGCUCCUGGGGUUGGGGGAUUAGGGAAGGGAUGAUGCAAGCACUUCCUUGGCUGCUCCAUCUGGUGUCUCACUAGGGUAUGUAUACCCCAAGUCCACUGGAUUCAAAGCCCAGUAACACCAGGACUUGAUUAGGAUAUGCGGCCCUUGUGGUCUAGAAUACCUUUCAAGUUUAUUUAGAACCCCAGAAGGCUUUAACCUGUGGUGAUGAGAUUAGCUGGAACUCAGGUUCCAAUUGCUGGAAGAGAUGAGUCCCCUCUGGCUAAAGGCUGAUCUAAAUGCUCCUUCCAUGGGUGCCAGCUGAGUUCUGCCCUGUGUUGCUUUCCGCUAUUAUAGGGCAGCACUGAGUUUCAAUGCAAGUUCCACAAUCACUGCCCUGUCCCUCCCCCGAGUACACAGAUUUUCCCCUCCACAUCACGUGGCCACUGCCAGGGGAUGGAGGAGGGGUGGUGCUGGCAAUUCAGGACUGUCUUUCCUACUCUCUUCAGUGCCUGUUUCCUUGAUAUGAUGUUAAAACCAGGUACUUUGAUCACUUACCUGAUUUGGGGUUCUUAUGGAGAUGCUUUUUUGUGUGGAUAGUUGUUCAACGUCUUACUCCUGUGGGAGGAAUGAUCAUUGGAGGGUUGUAUUUGGCCGUCUUGCUUCUGUUAACAUUAUUUAAUUUUUUUUUUUUUUUUUUUUUUUGAGAUAAGGUCUUGCUCAGUUGCCCAGGCUGGAGUGCAGUGGAAUGGUAAUAGCUCACUGCAGCCUUGAUCUCCCGGGCUCAAGACCCUCCUGAACAGCUGGAACUACAGAUGUGUGCCACCACACCAGGCUAAUUUUUUAUUUUUAUUUUUUGUAGAGAUGAGGACUUUCUAUGUUGUCCAUGCUGAUUUCAAACUCCUGAGCUCAACCAAUUAUUUUGCCUUGACCUCCCAAAGUGCUGGGAAUACAGGCCUGAGCCACUGUGCCUGAGCUGUUAUCAUUAUUGAUAGCUCUGAAAAGUUUCUUUGAUCUUUAGUGCUCCUUACUAGUGAAGUUAUUGUAGGAUUUCAGAAUUGUGGUUGAAUUAACAAAUUAUCCAGUUCCUUUCACAUAUGCAGUGGAACAUUUUGAGGUAUGUUUUACGUGAGUGGGUGUAAAAAUUGCUUCUAGGUAUACUGAUUGCUUAGUGCACAAGAAUUAUCCCAUCAGUAUACUUAGAAACCAGUCACAUACAACAAACCCUGUAUUAAGGGUUUGAAUUUAUAUAUGAGCCAAUGUCUGCAAAACUCUCCUAAGAAACCAGCCUGCUACCUUGCUAAUGAGUUAUCAACCUCACAGGUGUUAAGAAAGAUCACUUCCUGGCAGGCCAGGAACUUUAGAAAAUUGGGUAGACUUCAAGACGAUAGGAACUAACCAAAUUUACAGGUUCUCCAGGACAAAUAUGGUGGAAAGGUUUAUUGGUCUUUGUUUCCAAGCUUUGGGGUAGGAAAGAAAAUAGAGACUUUCUCAAGUUCAAUUUGAGAGUCCUAAUCUUUGACAUAUUCAUUUUAUACUUGCAUGAAAGUCGUUUAUGUAAUGUUUUGAAAAGUAUUCUUUAACACCUGCACUAUAAAUAUACCAGCACUUUUGUAAUGUGCCUCCAUAGCCCAAUCUCCCCACCCAGGUUAUGCUAUACAGCCAGAUUAAGCCUCCCAGUGCCCAGCUCGACUAGAUCACUCCCUUGCCCAAAACACUACAAUAGCCCCUUCCUCUGGGUUCAAGAUGGUUGGUAUUCAAGCCCUCUUACCAUCAUACCCCAGCUUCUCUGCAUCUACCCCAGGCUCCAGGCUCCAGGCACACAGAAUUCUUCACCUCCCCAGACACCUUUUACUCUCUCACCUCACAAUUACUCUUAUUGUUUUCUCUGCAUAGAAUGGCGUCUGGUUAAAUCUUCUUCUGUCCACCUUGCAAGGCUUUUAUCAAAUACCCCCUGACCACCAGCAGAUAUUCUUUCUUCUCUACUCCCACAGUCCUUUGAUUUGAAUAUCCUUCAAUCACAUUUCAUGUUGGUCUUAUAGUCAAAACUAGAUUUAAACACUUUAAAUUCUUUGAGGACAGUGUCUAGCCCAGUCUUAUGCGUACAGUAGGUACCCAAUAAAAGUUGAUAACAAAUGAAUGAAUGAACAAAUUAGUUAAUUCAUUAUACCAUUUACCUAAAUGUAAUGGUUUGCUUUUUGUUUUUAAGAAAGAAUGAAAGCUAUUCCUUACCCUUAUUGUGUGUGUCACCUUAAAUAUUUUCUUGUCAUCCUUGUCUUAAUGUGACUUACCUCAGAAGACAAGGAUUCAAGUACAAGUACUUUAUUUAAGAGGUUAUCCAAGAAAAUACCAGCAAAGGAGUAGGACAGUGAGUCAAGGAAAAGAAAGAGGCAAUAAAGGAUAUGUUAUUAAGCCAGUUCCCACUGUGAGCAACAAGAGCUAAGUCCUAUUGGGGUGAUCUAGGGGGUAGUGCAAGACCCUCUUCAGAGCUGUCCCAACUAAGAGGUGAGGACUCUAAGGGGGUAUUUAUCUACCAAUUGGGUGAGUGUUGCUUCUAGGGAUGUUAUCUCCUGAAACUUCUAGCUCGCCCCGCACACAGACCAAGCAUACUCCCUUGGCCAGACAAAAACCCCCAAGCUGAGAGUCAAUGGUGUUUGCAGCAUGCAACUAUCAGUGUGCUGAGGGAAUGUAGGUGAGACACCUACAGCUUGUGCUAUAAUACUGGAGAAGCUCCCAGCCAAGCAACUCCAUGUAUGUCCUCCAGCUAAAGAGAAAAAACAAGUCCCAUUCUCCCACUGUCUCUCUGUGUGUCCAAAGAUGAAUUUUUUUUUCUGAUUAUACUCUGACACUGCAGGGUUCCAUCACAGUCCUAGAUUUAGCAUUAUGGUUUUGGAAUAUAUUGACGGAUCUCAGGAGUCAGGACUCAUUGAUGUUUGGCCGUAAAGGAAACUACACGUCUGCAUUUUUUUUUUUUAAGAUUGUAUAAUGUGGCUGGGCACAGUGGCUCACGCCUGUAAUCCCAGUACUUUGGGAGGCUGAGGCGGGCGGAUCACGAGGUCAGGAGAUUGGGACCAUCCUAGCUAAUACGGUGAAACCCUGUCUCUAUUAAAAAUACAAAAAAAAAAAAAAAUGAGCCAGGCGUGGUGGCAGGCUUAUGUAGUCCCAGCUACUCGCGAGGCUGAAGCAGGAAAAUGGCGUGAACCCAGGAGGCUGAGCUUGCAGUGAGCCAAGAUCAUGCCACUGCACUGCAGCCUGGGCGACAGAGCUAGACUCUGUCUCAAAUAAAAAAAAAACAAAAAAAUCAAAGGUUGUAUCAAUUACCAGCAAGAUGAGGCUAGUUGAGACUUCUGCUUGUCUUUAUGGUAUUACUUCUCUAUGCAUUUAAUGUGCUCCCUCUGAGCUCCGUUUAGCAUGCUAUUUACUGUGCUGUGAAGCAGAGGGAGGAGGAAAGGCCAAAUGCUAGAAAUUUGAAUCAUCCUUGUUAAUAAGAUAUUCUACAUGCAAAUAAGGAAAGAGAGGAGGGAGGUUCAUAUCCCUCUCCAAGGGGUGCUUGAAAAGCAAUCACAGGAAGCCAUCUGAUCACCUCUGGAAUGGAAACCAGAAUGGAACACAGAUUUGGGAACCCAGUGGGUCAUGAGACAUUUUAAUUGGUGACAAAAUUUAACCACCAAUAUGCUGCUCUACUGGUAGAGGGCUGAUUGUCAGUUCAGAGUGGAUAAUUACACCUGGAGAAAUGCUACAGGCCAUUAAUUUAUGCACCAAGCUGCUAGUCCUCUACCACUUCCCUUCGUCUUCCUCCCCCAUCUCCAACAUGCUUCUUAUCUCUCCAUGGUUCCAGUGUUCUUAGAGGCACAUUCAGACUUGUAGUUUUACUCAGGAACAGUGGUUCUCAAACUUCAGUCAUAUCAGCAUCACCCAGGAGACUUGUUAAAACACAGAUUGCUGGAAUAUACUCCAGAGUUUCCAAUUCAGCAGAUCUGGGGUGAAUUUACAGCUGUAACAAGUCUCCAUGUGUUGCUGAUACUGCUGGUCCAAAGAUCAUACUUUGAAAACUACUGCUCUGGGAAGAGCAGCAAUUGGAGACAGAUCUUUAGGGCCACCAAACAUCUGCUCAGUCUUUACAAAGCUGGUGAAAAUAUAGCACAUAUUCCAAAAACCCAUGCAUGUCACUCAGCUCAGCUUUAGGCUGAAACUAUCAGAACAUCCCAUUCUGGGCCUCUGAAUUUUGUAAUUUGCAUCAGAAAGACCUCAAAAAUUAUCCGAUCCACAAUGGUCUACAUUUUCGUUUCUCCUAAAAGCUUGUGGAUUUUACUUGAGACCCCAGAUGCAUUCUUUUCAUUAAAUAUUUCACUCCCAAAAAGCCAAAUAGCUGUCUGGUAUAAGUAUGACUGCUCUACAUAUGGGAAAAAAGAGUAUGUAUCCCAGGAAUCAAAUCUAGAGAUUAUCAUGGACCAUGAACCUGUUGAAUUUAAUGGAAUUUGGGACUGGGGUCUUCUGGCUAAAUAGUUGUGUCACUCUGGUUCCCUGGUCCUUUCUUUUCUUUUAUCUUUUCUUUUUUUUUUUUUUUUUUGAGACAUGGUCUCACUCUUAUCACUCAGGCUGGAGUGCAGUGGCAUGAUCAUGGCUCACUGUAGCCUCGAUCUCUCAGGCUAAAGCAAUCCUCCCACCUCAGCCUCCCGAGUAGCUGGGACUACAGGCAUGCACCACCACACCCAGCUAAUUUUUGUUUUUUUUAGAGACAGGGUUUUGCCAUGUUGCCCAGGUUAGUCUGAAACUCCUGUGUUCAAGCGAUCCACCUGCCUUGGCCUCCCAAAGUGCUAGAAUUACAGGCAUGAGCCACUGUGCUGGCCAUAAAUCCUUUCAAUUAAUUUUCUUACUUCAAGGACAGCCUUUGGGUCACACUGGGGAAAAAAAAAGUAGCACCUUUGGAAGUUAGAGCCCUGCAUCCCAAUAUCCCAGUUCAUUAUACUUAAUGGAUGCUUUAGGCAUUAGGAUUUUAUUUUCUCAUAGAAUAGUCAGAAAGGCUGAGUGGUCAAGAAAAAGGGGUAGUUCUCAAUUUUUUUCAAAAGUAGAAUUCCUUUAUAUGGUCAAAUUUUUUUUUUUUUUUUGAGAUGGAGUCUCGCUCUGUCUCCCAGGUUGGAGUGCAGUGGCACAAUCUUGGCUCACUGCAACCUCCACCUCCCGGGUUCAAGUGAUUCUCCUGCCUCAGCCUCCCAAGCAGCUGAGGCUACAGGUGCAUGCCACCAUGCCCAGCUAAUUUUUGUAUUUUUAGUUAAGCCGGGGUUUCACCAUGUUGGUCAGGCUGGUCUCGAACUCCUGACCUCGUGAUCUGCCCACCUCGGCCUCCCAAAGUGCUGGGAUUACACGCGUAAGCCACUGAACCUGGCCGGUCAAAAUAUUUUAUAUGUUCCCUUCCCCAUGUGAGUACCUAUUAAAUAGAAAGAUAACUGACCCUUUAAAAAAACCCAACACCUAAUGUCCCCAGCUUGGAACUACAGUCCAGGCUCAGCAGUUAGAUGCCCAGUGGAUCAUGGUCAGGCAGGCCACAGGGACAAAUGAGUAAAAGUGAUCAAGUUGAGAUGCGAGGUAAGGCGAGGUAAGGCAAGGCAAGCAGGCAGGAGGCAGGAAGCAGGAGUUCCCAGAAGCUGGAAUAAACUCUAAAGUCAAGAACAACACAGCAUAGACAAGAGGUUUUGAAAAUAAGGGAAAAUAUGGCCACCUUGCUUCUGGCAAAAAGUCUUCUCUAUGUCUGUGGUUAUAUUAGCAUCAGCUGAUGCUAGGACAUGGCCCUCCAGAGUCCAGGACUCAAAAAGUAUAGAUUAGUACAACAAUCCUCAAUACUUUACAGGAUCUAAUAAUGUGGGUCUAGGAAAGAGAGGGCUAGGAAGCAACAUAUCAGUUAGAAGUCCAGAUUCUGAAACCAAACGGCCUUUGUUCAAAUUCUGCCUCUGCCACUUGCUAGCUGUGUGACAUUGGCUGGCCCUGAAUUAUUUGCUAGAGCUGGCUUGUCUGGUUCCUGUGAGCUGAUUGUGCAUAUCUUUUCCCAACUCCCUGCUCAGUGAUAUUCUGUUGGUGGAUUGAAAUCAGCCAUAGUAGGUAUGUUCACAUCAUGGAAACCUAGUACAAAUCGGGGCUGCCUCCAUACUAUCUCCACCCCGAGAGCUGGUUGUUAACCAUCUACCACUGCUCACUGCUAACAUUUAUGGGGCUCAGAAUAAAAGUCUAAAGACUUAUCAUGUAUACAUCCAAAUAUUUAAAAGUUAUAGAUUAUUCUAGCAAACUGUCACAUAGAAUUAUUCUAUCUUUUACCUUGGCAAAUAUAUCUUCAUAAUGACCUGGAGUACCUCUUUUUUUUUUUUUGAGACAGAGUCACUAUGUUGCCCAGGCUGUACUGGAAUUGCUGGACUCAAUGGUUCCUCCUGUCUCAGGCUUCCCAAGUAGCUGGGACUACAGGUGUGCACCAUUGCACUUGGCUCUGGAGUGCCAUUUUUAAACUUAGAAUUCUAAUGCUCUUCAGAGUUUUGUGUUAGGUGGCAGUGAGGGAAGAGCCAGCCCUCCUGUUUUCCCUCUCUUUCUACUCUGCCCCCAGCUCCAUCCCUCACCAUGUGAGGACUCUCCAUCCUACACACUCAAGCUGCCCCCAAACCUCACAAUCCAAAUAGCUGCUCCUUGGCCAUCCCUCUGGCCCAAGGGUACACACAUGUGAGGGGAGGUCCACACUCUGGAGGCCAGCCCUGGAGGAAAAUGCGUGCAGAGGACCUGGAAGUGUUCUCAGGGCUGUUUGUGCAGGGAAUUCUAGGGUACAUGGCUGUGGUCUAGAAGGUAGAACAGAGCCUCCAGUUAAGCAAGCAUCUUGGCCCCACUAAUUCCUCAUCCCACAGGGAACAAUAGGCAAGAGGAGACCAGAAUGGGGCCCUCUAAAGCCUAGGGCCCAGGUUCCUGUUGUCCAAGUCUAAAGGAGGUACUGACUUUGAGCUGGUUACUUAACCUGUCUGUACUCAAUUGUCUCUUUUCACUAUAAAUGGCAAAUAAAAGUAGCAGUUACCUCCUAGGGUCAUCAUGAGAAUUAAAUAUGUUAAUACUUGUGCAGCACUUAGUGUUGGCCCAUAAGUGCUUGUAUAAGGUUUGUUACAUAUAUAAAACAAGCAUUCAUGACUUGAAAUGCACACUGGACUGGAAGUCUAAAAUCCUAGACUCUAGCCACUGUUUGCCAUCUGUUAACUCAGGGACAUCCCUUCACUUCUCUGAGACUCGGUUUUCUUGUCAGUAAGAAUGAGAGUUGGACUAAAUAAUCUUGAAGGUCCCAUAAUUUACCAUGACUUAUUUUUGUAAUUAGUAGAAAUUCCAGAAAAAUCUUGUAUUCACAAGGAAAGAAAAGAUAAGAUAGUUUCCAUGGGGAGGAAAAAAAUUAUCUCUAAACCUAGUAUUUUUGACUGAAUUAGAAUUUUAACCACAUAUACCAAAUGUCGUGUAAAUUUCUCCCUCCCUAGGAUGUAUAAUUUGAAGGGUAUUCUUGUAUUAAUUAUGAGUUUAGUAUUAUAUUUUGAUGACAUUUACAUUUGAAGAAUCCCCGACUGAUCCUCCCAGGUCAGUGGCAGUGGAGUGACCUGCCCCUCAGCAAGGCUGCAGAUACGACUGGCAGUGAGGUACCACACAGAUGGUGGCCAAUCUCCAUAGCUCCUCUCGCCUGUUCCUUCCUCAUCUCAGCAGUGCUCAAGGAUUCUGUAGCAGUUAUCUAUUGCUAUGUAACAAAGUAGCCAAAACUUAGUAGUGUAAACAGCAACUGCCAUCUAUUAUUAGAUCUUUCACAGGUCUGAGUUCUGACUAAGCUCAGCUAGGUGGUUCUUACUUGGGGUCUCUCAUGCAUUUGUUUGUAUUCAGAUGGUGGCUGGGGCUGGGGUCAUCUCAAAGGCUUCUUCAUCCACAUCUCCAAUGCCUGGUUUAGGUAGACUCAAGCAGCUGGGAGCUGGAAUGGCUGGGGCUGCUCAGGCAUCUCUCUGCUCUCGACGUGGGCUCUGCACCUGGUCCCCCAAUACAGCAGCUUCAGAAUGGACCUAUUUCUUGCAUGACAGCUGAGAGAACCAAAGGUGCAUGUUCCAAGGAGAGAUCCAGGCAGAAGAAGCUCUAUCACUUUUCAUGAUCUAAAUGUGGAAAUCGCACAGCAUCACUUUUGCUACAUUCUAUUCAUUAAAAAUGAAUCAUUAAGGUUGGCUUGUAUGCAAGGGGAGGGAAACUAAAGUCCACCUCUUGCAAAAAGGAGUGUCAAAGAAUUUGCAGACAUGCUUUGAAACCACCACGGAUUCCUCCUACAGAGAUUGGAUGAAGUUAGAACCCAAGGAAAUAGACAGGGGCCUCCCUUCCCAAGGAAGUUCGUAAGCCUUGGGGAAAGAAGAGGCCAAACUGAAGUCCGCAGGGACCAAGUAAGGAGCCACACUCCUCAUAGAAGGCUGGGAAAUCCUCAGGCAGAGUGGAGCUUUGUUGGCCUGUCUCUUCAGAGUCCAGCACAGGGUCAAGCAUGCCCUGUAGGUGAGAGCCCUUACUCUGUGCACCAGGAGAAGCUAGUUUUUCCAAGUCUACACUCUUCUACCUGUAGAAUCUGCCCCUUCUUGGGGAAGACAAUGACUAGCUGGACCAAUUCUGUGAUUCUGAGGGAGUCUCCUGAAGCAAAGCAGUUCUUUUGAACACUAGACCUACCAUCGUUUCCCUACAACUAGAUUAAGGGUUGGGGCCAGUUGGACAGUACAUCUAGCUAAUAACUAUGUAUCUAGGUAAGAAGAACAUAUUCACUAGAACUCCUCUCUGAGAGAAGGUAAAAUAUGAUAGAAAUACUCUGGUAUUUCUUUGAUGUUUGAGUCUCAAAAGGUAUACUUUAGAAAUGCUUUAAAAUUGUCUUUUGUCACAUAACAAACCACCCAAAACUUAGUGGUUCAAAGCAUCAAUAAUCUAUUAUUUCUCAUGAUUCUGUGGUUUGACUGGACAGUUUCUCUUCUAGUCUUACUGGGACUAACUCAUGUGGCUGUAUCAGCUGGUUUGGUUGGGUUUUGAGGCCAAGAUGGCUUCCCUUGCAUGUCUGACAAUUGGUGGUGGCUGUUGGCUGGGGCACCUCUGUUCUCCUCCACAUGGUCGCUUAUGGUCCUGGAGCCAGACUGGCUUUCUUACAUGUUGGUCUCUGGGCAUUGUACCAAGUAAAACAUGUAUUGUCUCUUAAAGCCCAGUCUCAAAAGUUGAUAAACAACACUUCUGCUAUUUUAUGUUGGUCAAAGCAAGUCACAAAGCUAGCCCAUAUUCAGAGGGGGAGGAAACAGACUCCACCUGUUGGUGGAAGGAGUGGCGAAGGAGCAUGCAUAUUGGGAUGGGAGGAAUUUGUAGCCAUUUUGUUGCACUCUCCCUCAAGAAACACUUGAUUUCUUCUAAGGAAGGUGGGCCUGGAAACUCAGGACUUAAGGACCAAAGCUGAACUGUUUGGGAACACUAAGUGUGAGACUGAGCCCUGCCUCCAGCAUUCCCCAUCUCUGCCCUUAACCCUCCCUCAAUCCCCCAGCUUUCAUCUGAAUGUAUAUCUUAAGGCUAUUUAAAAGGGUACUAAGUUAUUAGCCUUACUGCAUUAGUAUCCACAUGCCUCAGUAUGACCUUACCUAUCCACUCCCCCAUGCCCAAAAUUUAUGGCAAAGAUUCUGUGAUACCCACUGAAGGGAGAACACCCAAGUGGCCAUAGAAGAUCCCAUCAACCUGAGAGAUGAAAUAAACAAACAGAGGGUGGGCACACCAUUUAAAAAUAGAACUCUGAUCCACAAACUCAGCAGCAACCAGUCCAGAAAGCCAAACCACCUCUGCAGCAAUUGGUCUAAAAUGGUUGCAACUUGGCCAGCUUCCAACUCAGGACCAACCAGAGAAAAACAAAUAUGCUCCCCAACCCAAUCACAUAGGAUGCCUUGCUUCUAGUUAGCCCAUUUCCUGCUUCCCCAUACCAACAACUUCCAAUCUAGCAAACAUGAAGCCUUCCCUUUUCAUACUAUAAAUCAUUCACACUGCACUGCUUGCCUUUGAGUCUGUGCCAACCAAAAGGAAUGGAAGCUGACUCUCUUGCUAUAGCCAACUCUGAAUACAUAGUUUCUGUUUAUUUUCAUUAGAGUGGCCUUCAUUUAUUUCCACAAACCCAAGAGUUUCCCUCUAAAAAGGACUACAGAAGUAAGUUUUGUUGAGAGGUGGUAAUGGUUUGCACCUGGUAGCAGAGGAGCAGGUGAGAACCAGAGGGUUUCUGAAAAUAUUUUGAAAGGAAGCUGUAGGAGUUGCUGAUGGAUCAAACAUGUGGUGAGAGAAAGGUUAAGAUGACAACAAGUUUUGGACACUAAGCAACUGAGUGAAUGAUGAAACCAUUUUCCAAGAUGGUGAACAUUGGAUCAAGAGUUUAAUUUUAGACAUUUUGAGGUUACUGUUGAAGGUAUAAAUUUAGGAGUCACCAACUAGUAGAUGGGCCUUAAAGUCAUGACACUGGAUGAUAUCACACUGGGAAACACCAUUUCUUUUACUCAAUAUGAAUUGAGCACUUACUAUGUGCCAGACAUUAUUUAAGCUUUGUGGAUUUAGUGGAAGAAGACAUAGACACUGGCCCACCAUUGAGAAAUAUAUAGUAUGAAUUAACAGCACUGUAUUGUACAUUUUAAAAACAUUUGUUAAGAGGGUGGAGCUCAUGUUAAGUGUUCCCGCCAUGAUACAUUUUUUUUUAAUUGCAGUUUUGAGAUCUUGCUACUGGAAUUUAUUCAUGCCAGUGAACAGGGGACAAAUAUGAAAAGCAGUAAUGAGAGAUAUGACCCAGCAGGAGACUUCUGAGUUGAGACUUAACUAAAUGAUUUGUUGUUAGUCAGGUGAAAUGGAAAGAAGAAAUCAUUUCUGGCAGGGGUAAGAGCAUGUGCAAAGGUCCUGUGGAAGAAGAGAGCUUACCAUGAUGGACAGACAAGAGGCCAUUUGGGUUAUGAGCUCAGAGGUGGAGGGGCAGCCUCAUGGGAGAUAAACAGGCAGGGUCUAGACCAUGUAGGACCUCACAGGACAUGGAAACAUACAGAGUUUGGGUUGUUGUUGUUUUCUAAAAACAAUGGGAAGUGAGAGGAGGAUUUUAAGUGUGGAGGAUAAUGGAUCUGAUUGGUUUAAAAUACAGGGUCCCCAAACCUACCGUUGGAGACUGAUUUAGGAGGUCUGUCCUGAGACAGGUUAUUUGAAUUUUCAGCCAGCACCCCAGGGCAUGCUGUCAUACUUAUGAACCCCACUUGAAGGAGUACUGGGACAUUCCUAUUUCUCAAAGUGUUGAUAAGUAUCCAGUGACACUAAACAAGACUUGGGCAUUGCAGAAGUUUGCCUCAGAAAGGGAUACCUGUGGCCGGGUGCAGUGGCUCACACCUGUAAUCCCAGCACUUUGGGAGGCCAAGGUGGGCAGAUAAUGAGGUCAGGAGAUCAAGACCAUCCUGGCUAACACAGUGAAACCCCAUCUCUACUAGAAAUACAAAAAAAAAAAAAAAUUAGCCAGGCGUGGUAGCGGGCGCCUGUAGUCCCAGCUGCUUGGGAGACCAAAGCAGGAGAAUGGCAUGAACCUGGGAGGCGGAGCUUGCAGUGAGCCGGAGCUUUCAGUGAGCCGAGAUGGUGCCACUGCACUCCAGCCUGGGUGACAGAGCGAGACUCCAUCAAAAAAAAGAGAGAGAGAGAGAGAGAGAGAAAAGAGAAGAGAAGAGAUACUCAUGGGGUUUUACCAAGGCCGUAUGGUGCCUGAUUAAAAUAGAAGAAAAUGCAUGGAGAGGAAUGUGCUACCUUGCAGGCACAGAAGGCAGAGGACUCUGUCAGCCUGCUAACCGUGUGUGUGCUCCCAAGACAGCCGGCUUUGCAUAGUUUCUUUUCUCUUCAUGGUAGUUAAGCUGGGCUUUUCAGUAGCAGGAUUUCAAAAUUGUAAGUUCAUAAUUCCCGAGACUGGUGUUUGGAGAGUAUCAGCUCCAAACUUUGGGAAAUCCCUAUUGAAGCUCCUCUUCCUAUUCUCCUUGCUGCUCAUACAAACCUGUUCUCUGAGAAGUUAGUACCCACAAUAUUUGACUUCAGUUUACUAAUUUGUUGACAAAUACCACUGUAGCUCAGCCAAACCCUCACCCCUCACCCCUUCUGUACAAUGAUUUGUCUUCAUGCCCCUUGCAUUCCUGAAAUGAAAAAGAGGCAACAGAAAAAUAAUCAGCAAUUGUGACUUUAUUACCUGUAAAAUUUGAGAGUUUAUUAAAAACAAGUAUGAUCUAAAGGAAAUGAAGACACAAAAAGGUAUUUGAAUGCUUUUUCUUGGUCUCAUGAGAAUCUGGGCAGGUGAUGGUGGCUUGAACUAGGGUUGUGACAGUGGAGAUAGAGAGAAAUUGACUGAAUUGCCAAACAGUUUGGUGGUAAAAGCAACUGCAAUUUCAUCUUUAGUCCUUUGGCUAGAUUGCAAAAAGAGUUCUCAAAUAAUUACUAGGAUUUUUCAUGAUCAGGGUGACAGGAUUAUGGGAAGGCCCUUCCUUAAAUGACAGAAUGCAAAUCUCCCAGAGAAAGAUAGCACCAUCUCAGUCCUUUUCUAGCCUUAUCACCUUCGUGUGACUGACUUGACACUGACACGUGCACAGGAGUCCCAGCCCAAAGGGCUUCCUGGCCUGGCAGAUAAAGUAAAAGCCCCUCUACUUGGAAAAUAAUAAACAGGGGUCAACACUGUUGCCAGGCAACAUGCAGAGUGCUGAGAACAGUGGGGAUCUGCAAAUCAAGCCUUCGUCUGGAAACAGCAGUUUUCCCAGCCUAGCCCAUUGCUAGCUCCUGACAAGAGUAAAAGUCUUUGCUGGUGCAUCAGAUUGGCAGAGUGUAGGUCACAUGUCUGUGCCAUAGCUGCAAGGGAGUCUAGCAAGAUGGCCCUUACCAGAUGCUGGCACCUUGAUAUUUGACUUCCCAGCCUCCAGAACUCAACACAAAAUGGACUACAUGAAGAAAACCAUGUUGGAAUCUUGUGCUGUCAUUGAUAAGAAAGGAUCUGAGCAUUAGGUCAAUUACCAAAAAACUGAAAAAUCAGUAACAAUGAUGACAGACUCUUCAAAUAGGAUGAUUUAAAUUUUAGGAAAUUGGAAGAAGACUCUGAGAAACUUAACAAGGUCCUCCAAUAUUUUCCCCAAAAUGAUCUUCUCUGAUUUGACUAUGCUUGUUCCUCCAUAUCUCCAUGAUCGCUAGACUACUUCUGUCCUCUAUCCACAUUCUCUCCCAAGGUGGGUCAUCUAGUUUCAUGGCUUUAAAUCCUCCCUUAAACUGUUGGUUCUCAAAUAUGCACUUGUCACUUUUCUCCUAAACUCCAGACUCAUGUAUUCAACUACCUACUUGACACUUCUGUGUGGAUGUCUAGUAGGUAAUAAUCUUAGAAUUAUUGUGCCCUGUCAAAUUCCUGCUCUUCCCUCUAAAAUAUCUUGAUACUAUUCAGUCUUCCCCAUUUCUGUUUAUGUCAGUUCCUGCUCAGGUCAAAAACCUCUGAGUUAUCUUUGAUUCCUCUCUUUCUCUCACAUUCUAGUAGUCCAGUUUCUUCCAUAAUCAGAUCAAUUAGUAAGCCCUAUCAGUUCCAUUUUUAAAAUGUAACUAGGAUCCCAACACUUCUCACCAUUUCCCCUACUACUCUGUCUCCCACCUGAUUCUUUCAGUAGCCACUCGAUUAGUUUCCUGCUUCCACCCUCACUAAUCUACAGUCUAUUGUCAACUCAGCAGCCAUGGCCAUCUGGAGUGAAACUGAAGUUUGCCCAGAGCUGCUGGAAGCCCCAGCUGCCCUGCUGCCCACGGAGUCCUCUGAGAAGGAUGACUCCAGAGGCCCUCAACUCCUUGGAGGAGGCCCUGGAAUUUGAACCACCAUCUUCUGGACUGACUCAAAUGCAGAGGAAGCCAGGCCUGCUGCUAACAUUUCUGAGAGGUGGCAAGAGUAUAAAUGGAGAUCCACAUAUGUAUAAAUAAAGAGUGUGAAUCAAGCUAACAAACUGUUUAAUAAAAUAUGAUCUACCCUCUUAGCUUGACAAAUGAACUUUUCAAACACCUGGAAGAACAAGUUUGCACUCAGGAUUCUCAGACUCCUCAGAGUUCUGCACUGGGAUGUGGAAGGGCUGUGCAAGCCAGCCCUUGGGUCCCUGAUCCCUGCCUCCUGGCCUGUGCCCGUCUCUUCUCAGCCUGGCUCCAACUCCCAUUGAGAGGAAGUUCUUGUACACAUAUGAUACUGCAGCCCCUAUGUCUAAUAUUUAUCCAUACCUUCUGCAAACAGCCACUGUGUGACCACACUUAGGCUUUCCAGGGGUCUGCAAACUGACAAUACAGACAAAGGGAACCAAGGCAGAGGCUCACAGACUGUAGAAAUGGGCUUGGGGCCAUUUGGGCAGAGACUUGUGGAAUCCCAGGUAAGCAGGGCAUCUUAGUUUGCUUGUGUUGCUUAAACAAAAUACUAUGGACGAGGUAAUUUAUAAAUAUUAGAAUUUACUUCUCAGAGUUCUGGAGGCUGGGAAGUCGAAGGUCCAGGUCAAGGUGCUAGCAGAUUUGCUGUCUGGUGGGAGCUGCUCCCUCUGCUUCCAAGAUGGCACUUUUUUGCUGUGUCCUCUGGAGGGGAAGAAAGCUUAGAUGGGCAAAAGGGGGCAAUUACCUCUCUGAGACCUCUUUUGUAAAGGUAUUAAUCCAUUCCUGAGGCUUUGCCCUCAUGACUUAAUCACUUUCCCAAAAUCACAUCUCUUAAUACUACUUCAAUGAAGAUUAAGUUUCUUUAUGAAUUUUGAAGGGGUCACAUUCAAGCCACAGCACAGAGCAUGACCUAGCAGAGGAGAUGCAAGCUCUGGGUGUGCAAGUCCCCUUUGCUCCAUGGACGUGGCUGGAGGGUACCCCUCUAUAGCACAGGACCCAGAGCACCCUUCUUGCCUUGGGUUUAGGGAUAGUAUAGGUGGUGGUGGUGAGGCUACUUUUGCUCAUUAAGAAAAGCCUCUUUGAGGGGUGGGACCGAGAAUGACAUUUGAAUGGAAACUUGAAUCAUAAAGAUGAGUCAUCCAAGCCAAGACUUGGGAGAAGGGCAUUCCUAAGUGAGAGAAGAGGAUAUGCCCAGCUCUCAUAAGCUCUAAGGAAGAGUCACCAACUGGGGUGGGUGGAGCCUAAUUAAGAGGAGAAGAAUGGUAAGAGACAAGGUGAGAUGGUCAGGCAGGAGCAGGGAGCCUGGAGGUCAGGUAAGGGGGCUUGACUUUGCCAUGGGUGCAAUGGGAAGCCUCUGGAGAGUUGAUACGAUUUGAAUUCUGUUACAGCACGAUCACUCUGGGUGCUGUGUGAAAUGGAUGAAUAGCAAGGAGCUGCAGCCAAGAGCAAAUCAACAGAAGCACCACUCAAAAUGCCUCAGUACCCAUUACAUAAGGAUUCUUGUGGUUAAUUCUUCCCCAAAAUUUAGAGCCAAGAAAAAUCCAGCUCUCCUACUGAGAGUUGUAGAUUAGAGCUUCUGUUUCUUCUCUACAAACAAAUGUGUGCAAUGUCUUUUCAUGACAAUUCCAACUUUAUCAUAAGGCUGUCUACUAAGAAACCAGUAGGCAGGUUUCUCUUCUUGUGUAGACCACCUGAAAGCUCAUAGCUGAGUUUGUACUUAUUUGCAGAGUAAACUGCUCAUUUAUCAAUCUGGCAUCCAAUCACAACUUUUUAGCUAACUACCUAUAUGUUUUCAUAAAAUUUUCUCACACAGUACACAUUUUAAAUAAAUAACAAUAGCAAUUACUCAUAUAAGUAGUAACAACUUGAGACUGGCAUCUGUCUAGUGGUUCUUUCACCAGUGUGUACACUGGAAGUUUUGUUUGUUUUGUUUUUUGAUGUUUGUACAUUGUAAUUGCAGGACAGGUAGUAAGAAGAUUUUAAAUUCACAUUAGCUUUGCUACCACUAAAUUAUGGUCACUGUUUCUAAUUUGCAAACAAAUGUAUGCAAUCUCUUUUUAUGAUUAUCCUGACUUUAUCAUAAGGUUGUUAUAUUUUAAGACGUAUGAAAAGGUAUAAAGUAUAAUACAGUGAAUACACAUAUAUCUAACUCCCAGUUUAAGAAAUGAAACAUUAGCAAAUACAGCAGAAGCUCCAUGAAUUCCCCUCCCAAAUCAUACUCCCUUCCCACCCGCCAUCCAAGCCAAGACUUGGGAGAAGGGCAUUCCUAAGUGAGAGAAGAGGAUAUGCCCAGUCUCUAUUCUGAGACUGGUGUUUAUCACCACCAAGAAUUUAAAAAAUACUUUUACUAUAUAUACACAAGUAUGUACCCCUUAGAAAUGAGUAGUAGUACUGUUUUGUGUGUCUUUACACUUUAAGUAAAUGGUAUAAGUUUUUUCUUGUUUUUGCUCAAAAUUGUUGAUAUUUAUGCCCUUUGAUUCUAUAGCUGAUUGACUUUCACUGUGAAUCAUUCCAUCAUUAUUUCUGUAUUAAUUCUCCUGCUGAAGUACAUUUCAGGUUGUUUCUAUUCCUCUCCUGAUCCCCCUCCCCCAACACACAUGCUUUUAUUAAUAAAUCUUCUGGAACAUUCUUGCAUACA